GAUGAACGCUGGCGGCGUGCCUAAUACAUGCAAGUCGAGCGAACAGAUGAGGACUUUGCUCCUCUGACGUUAGCCGCGGACGUGUGAAUAACACGUGGAUAACCUACGUAUAACACUGAGAACACUUCGGGAACCCGGCUCUAAUCCCGGAACAUUUAUUGCACCACAUGGUUCAAUAGUAAGAUACGGUUUUGCUAUCACUUAUAGAUGGAUCCGCGGCGCAUUAGCUAGUUGGUAAGGUAACGGCUUACCAAGGCAACGAUGCGUAGCCGACCUGAGAGGGUGAUCGGCAACAUGGGAACGGAGACAGGCCCAAGACUCCUACGGGAGGAACAAGUAGGGAAUCUUCCGCAAGGGGCGAAAGCCUGACGGAGCAAGCCCGCGUGAGUGAUGAAGGUCUCCGGUCGGUAAGACUCUGUUUUUGGGGAGAAACAAAAGUGUAAGUAACUGUGCACGUCUUGACGGUACCUAAUCAGAAAGCCACGGCUAACUACGUG
rnacentral:rRNA from 1 species